rnacentral:rRNA from 1 species
AGGACGAACGCUGGCGGCGUGCUUAACACAUGCAAGUCGAGCGGAAAGGCCCUUCGGGGUACUCGAGCGGCGAACGGGUGAGUAACACGUGAGUAAUCUGCCCCUAGCUCUGGGAUAGCUCCGGGAAACCGGGAUUAAUACCGGAUACGACCACCUUAGACAUCUUUUGUGGUGGAAAGAAUUUCGGCUAGGGAUGAGCUCGCGGCCUAUCAGCUUGUUGGUGGGGUAACGGCCUACCAAGGCGACGACGGGUAGCCGGCCUGAGAGGGCGACCGGCCACACUGGGACUGAGACACGGCCCAGACUCCUACGGGAGGCAGCAGUGGGAAUAUUGCGCAAUGGGCGAAAGCCUGACGCAGCGACGCCGCGUGGGGAUGAAGGCCUUCGGGUUGUAAACCCUUUCAGCAGGGACGAAGCGAAAGUGACGGUACCUGCAGAAGAAGCGCCGGCUAACUACGUGCCAGCAGCCGC